UACGGAGGGUGCAAGCGUUAAUCGGAAUUACUGGGCGUAAAGCGUACGUAGGCGGUUGAAUAAGUCGGAUGUGAAAUCCCCCGGCUCAACCGGGGAACUGCCUUGGAAACCCCACGCCUUGAGGGAGACAGGGGCAUAUGGAACUUCCAGUGGAGCGGUGAAAUGCGUAGAGAUUGGAAGGAACGCCGGUGGCGAAAGCGAUGUGCUGGAUCUCUUCUGACGCUGAGGCGCGAAAGCCAGGGUAGCGAACGGG
rnacentral:misc_RNA from 1 species